UACAGAGGGUGCGAGCGUUAAUCGGAAUUACUGGGCGUAAAGCGUGCGUAGACGGUUAUUUAAGUCGGGUGUGGAAGCCCCGGGCUCAACCUGGGAAUUGCAUUCGAGACUGAAUAGCUAGGGUACGGUAGAGGGAAGCGGAAUUUCCGGUGUAGCGGUGAAAUGCGUAGAUAUCGGAAGGAACAUCAGUGGCGAAAGCGGCUUCCUGGACCAGUACCGACGUUCAGGCACGAAAGCGUGGGGAGCAAACAGG
rnacentral:rRNA from 1 species